UACAGAGGGUGCAAGCGUUAAUCGGAAUUACUGGGCGUAAAGCGUGCGUAGACGGUUAUUUAAGUCAGGUGUGAAAGCCCAGGGCUCAACCUUGGAAUUGCAUUUGAGACUGAGUAGCUAGGGUGCGGAAGAGGGAAGCGGAAUUUCCGGUGUAGCGGUGAAAUGCGUAGAUAUCGGAAGGAACACCAGUGGCGAAAGCGGCUUCCUGGUCCAGCACCGACGUUCAGGCACGAAAGCGUGGGGAGCAAACAGG
rnacentral:rRNA from 1 species